UCUGAAUUUUCAGAUACCAAAUGGAUACAAAAUGAAAGCCUGUGGAAAUCUAAGAAUUAAAAGAAUCACAUAACCUGGAGUAUUCAAAAGAUAAUAAACAGAACUGCUUCUUCGAGAUGAUACUGAAUGGCCCAUGUACCUCCCUUCACGCCAGCAUAGGCAUAACCAUUUCAAAAAGGAUUUUCACUUGAUCUGCAGCUACUGAUGCCCUACCAGCUUGGAAAAUGUUUUAUUUCCUUGCUUUGGAGUGAAUUCUCAGGCAAUCAUUUGCUUUAUUGAUUCUGCUCAUUAUUGCAGUGGUUGCUUGCCUUAGGUCCCUGGAGGUCAAGGCAAGAAACCAAAUAUGUAUGUGGAUCUCUUUUCUACUGCUUCUGCUUGCUCUAAUUUGACCCUCAACCACCAGAAAGCUACAUAAGAACCAUAUUUAGGAUUUGUAAGGUACUGUCUACUUAGAAGGUGCCAGUUGACAUAUGUAUGUUAACCAACUGCCGGUUAUUCCACAUCACUUUAGAGUUCUUUGAUUGCAAGCAACAGAAAAUAUCCCUGGAUAAUCAAAGGGAAAAAAGACGGUAUCAAAAGCGAGUAAAGUGGAGAAUAGAUUGAAAGGCUGAAGACCGCAGCACACACAAAAGUAGGAAUGAAGAAAGGUCUGAGGAGGUCUAGCUAUCAGGCACAACUUGACAGUCUUAACUAGGCAUAGCUACUCAAAUAAAUAA